CUCGGAAAACUCGGUCGAGUACUCUGACUCGGUAAUCCUGCCGCACCGUUUUUACUAUAUUCGGUCACUACUACGGUUUGUGUUGAAAUCGGGUCAAACUUGCGUUGACUUCCGAGUACUCCGAGUACUUUGAAAUAAAAAUGCUGCAGCCUGCAAGGAAAUAAAAACUAAAAAGAGCCCAUCAGCCCAAUAAGGGAAAAAUGUAAAGGCAGGCAUCGGUAACUCUCUGGAGACAAUACACCGUCAUUGUCAAUAUCUCAACUUGACUCUGUACUUGAUUAUCACUCAGUAAGGAAUGGAACCUUCACCAAAUACAGAAUCAUCAGAUAUUUUGAAACCUAAUUCUAGUGAUGUUGGAUGGGAAUAUGCUGAGUUGAUCAAUGCUACUAAUCUUAGACAAGUGAGGUGUAAAUUGUGCAGGAAAGAACUGAACGGAGGUAUCAACCGUCUUAAGUAUCAUGUUGCUGGAAUAAAAGGUAAUGUGAAAGCUUGUCCUAAUUCCACUCCUUUAGACAAAGAACGGUGUAAAAGAGCAUUGGAUGAAUUGAAAAAGACAAAAAAGGAAAAAAAAACUACACAUUCAGGAGGUGAGAGAGGAUGUAGAUAUUGCUGAAAAUGAAGAUGAUGUAGUUGAAAUUCAAGGUUCUGCAAAAAAACCACAUACACUUGGACCUAUGGAUCAAUUUAGUAGACCAAUUGAUCCAAUGGAAUCUACUAUUGAGUUGCGUAAAAAGAGUAGACAACAAAAUAUUAAUGAUGCUCUUUUCAAGCAGAGGACUAAUGAGGUGCACGCAUAUUUAGCUCGCUGGGUGUAUGAGUUUGGUGUACCAUUCAAUGCCAUAAACAAUGAUGGGUUUAAAAGGUCUUGUGAGGCAGUUGGAUAGUUUGGUCCAGGCUAUAUACCAGCAAGUCGGUACCAAUUGAGAGAGCCGCUCCUUAAGCAAGAAGUGGAAAAGACAAAACAAUCGAUGAAAGAACAAGAGGAGGAGUGGAAAUCCAAUGGGUGCUCACUAAUGACAGAUGCGUGGUCCGAUAGAAAUUGGCGAAGCAUUAUGAAUCUUUGUGUUAAUUGUAGAGCUGGCACAUGUUUUAUUGCUUCUAUUGAAAGUUCAGAAGAAGCACACACUGCAAAGUAUAUAUUUGAGUAUGUUGAUAAAUAUAUUGGUGAAAUAGGGAGUGGCAACGUCAUUCAAGUCGUGACGGAUAAUGCUUCUAAUAACAUGGCUGCUGCAAAAUUAUUGAAGGUCAAGAGACCAAACAUUUUCUGGACAUCCUGUGCUACUCACACACUGAACUUGAUUUUGGAAGGAAUUGGUAAGAUUCCAAGGAUUCAGCAUAUAAUUGAAAAGGCAAAGGCACUGACCAUUUUCAUUUAUGCUCACCACACGACGCUGGCUUUAAUGAGAAAAUUUACAAGAAAAAAAAAAAUUGUUAGACCAGGGGUCACAAGGUUUGCUAGCUCGUUUCUUACCCUGCAACAUAUCUUGGAGAAAGAAGAAAAAUUAAAGCAUAUGUUCUUAUCAAAAGAAUGGGGAGAAUGCAAGUAGUUUACAAAAUCAAAAGGUAUCAAAGCAUAUCAGAUCAUUGUCUCUCAAGCUUUUUGGAUGAAUAUUGCUAUGUGUGUCGAAUUAUUUAAACUUUUAGUAAAAGUACUUCGACUUGUUGAUGGAGAUUGGUGUCCUUCCAUGGCUUUUGUGUAUGGAGAUAUUAAGGAAGCAAAAUCUGAGAUCAUUAGAAUUUGCAAGGAUGUUAAAGACACCUAUGAACCUAUCUUGGAAAUCAUUGACUCAAAAAUUAAAGGCCGUCUUGAUAGUCCAUUGCACUUAACUGCAUACUUGUUAAAUCCUUAUUUUUUCUUACAAAGAUAAAGAAGUUGUGAGAAGAGAUGCAAACUGUAUGGCCGCAGUGAUAACUUGCAUUGAGGCAUUCUUUCCAGAUGAUUAUGACUUGAAAGAUCUUGUUGGAAAUGUCGAGUUACUGAAAUACAAAAAUAUGGAAGGAAUGUUUGGAAAAAAAUUGGCUAUCAUGGGAAGAACCAGGAACAAAGAAAAUUUUGAUAUAGGUAUUUGCUAUUUAAUAUUUAUCUAACACUAGAAUUUUGUUUAUUCAAGAUUUCUACUUAAAAAUUCUGCUCUUUUAAAUUAUUCAUUUGACAGUUGGAUGGUGGUCAAAUUAUGGAGCAGAAACACCAAAUUUGCAA